rnacentral:rRNA from 1 species
GACGAGGGAUCCAAGCGUUUGUUCGGAAUCAUUGGGCGUAAAGCGGGUGUAGGUGGCUUUGUAAGUCGGGUGUGAAAGCCCAGGGCUCAACCCUGGAAGUGCAUUCGAUACUGCGAAGCUUGAGUGUAGGAGAGGUUACUAGAAUUCUUGGUGUAGUGGUGAAAUACGUAGAUAUCAAAGAGGAAUACCGGAGGCGAAGGCGGGUAACUGGCCUAAACACUGACACUCAGACCCCGAAAAGCGUGGGGGAUCAAAACAGG